rnacentral:rRNA from 1 species
GACGAACGCUGGCGGCGCGCCUAACACAUGCAAGUCGAACGAGCGAGAGAGAGCUUGCUUUCUCGAGCGAGUGGCGAACGGGUGAGUAACGCGUGAGGAACCUGCCUCGAAGAGGGGGACAACAGUUGGAAACGACUGCUAAUACCGCAUAAGCCCACGGUGCCGCAUGGCACAGAGGGAAAAGUAGCAAUCCGCUUUGAGAUGGCCUCGCGUCCGAUUGUCUAGUUGGUGAGGUAAUGGCCCACCAAGGCGACGAUCGGUAGCCGGACUGAGAGGUUGAACGGCCACAUUGGGAAUGAGACACGGCCCAGACUCAUACGGGAGGCAGCAGUGGGGAAUAUUGCACAAUGGGGGAAACCCUGAUGCAGCGGCGCGGCGUGGAGGAAGAAGGUCUUCGGAUUGUAAACUCAUGUUGUGGGGGAAGAUAAUGACGGUACCCAACAAGGAAGUGACGGCUAACUACGUG